UCAUGCAACAUCUGUUACGAGGCUACAAUUUCUCAUCAACGCUUCGUCAGGACAAAUACCUAUAUAUAAUCCGUCUAUCCUACAAUUAUUUGUCCAUCAUCGAAUCUCCUGAUUUCGAAAACAGAGAAAUUUCGAAAUUGGGAGAUUCGAUUCAGGCAGAACAAUAAGUCAUUUUCCGUGCUGGGGACGGUCGAGAAAAGACAAAAGCGGGUCUCCACUACGUCAAAACACCACCACCACCACAUCGUCGAUAAAAAUUUCGACAGAGCUAGAGUUCUCAACUUUGUUGACAAUCGACUGCUUGCCUCGCUCCCUCUCGACGUCCCUUCGCGUUAAAAGAUGAUUCGGAUUCUCUCGGCCAACCAAAGCAGCUCCGAUGACGCUCGGCACUCCCGGCACCACCAGGGUCGCGCCCGGGGUCGUCUGAGCCGCUGAUGCUGCUGCUUCCAGUCUGUCCAAGUUGAACUCACUCUGGGAUAAUCGCUCGAGAGCUCGACCUUCGCCGGAUGUAAUUUUGGCGAACUUUUUUGUUAACGGAUCUGACGAGGUCGGCAGCAGUGAAGGGGAUUGGCUGGGGAUGAGGAGCGGCCGGUGGUUGUUGGGUGGUUCCUCCGUGGGGACUGGGAAGCUGGGAAGUA